ACAUCCUUUGACAACUCUAGAGAUAGAGCUUUCCCCUUCGGGGGACAAAGUGACAGGUGGUGCAUGGUUGUCGUCAGCUCGUGUCGUGAGAUGUUGGGUUAAGUCCCGCAACGAGCGCAACCCUUAAGCUUAUUUGCCAUCAUUAAGUUGGGCACUCUAAGUUGACUGCCGGUGACAAACCGGAGGAAGGUGGGGAUGACGUCAAAUCAUCAUGCCCCUUAUGAUUUGGGCUACACACGUGCUACAAUGGACAAUACAAAGGGCA
rnacentral:rRNA from 1 species